GAGGCUUCUACAAUAUCUAUAGUACCGGACCUCCCUUAGUGUACUCUUGUUUUCGAUUUUAGGAUAUUCAAAUCAACAAUCCACCCCAUUAAAACUGAUUUAGGUUAUUUAAAGUUUUUUAAAAUAAAAUUUUAUAUUUUCGACAUAAUUUACUUUAUGAUCAAACCAUUUCAAACUUGUCAAUUUUCAAUAGUUAUUAAUAAUGAGUUUGUAGUUUAAUAGUGUACAGGAAUCUAAAUUUAUUCAAAUUUUGAUAGAAUAUACUUUAAACUAUUUAGAUAGGUCAGUGUCCUUGAUCUUGAAUUCAAAAGUCCCAUUCUCAAAUUUUAAAGAUUAUUCAAUUUUCACUCUUCAUUUUGACAUGAUUUACUUACUAAUUAAACGACAUCGAAAAAAAUUAAAAUUUUAUUCCUUAUAACUUCAUGUACACUAGAUCAUAUNUUGUUUUCGAUCUUAAGGUGUUCAAAUUAACGAUCCACACCGUUAAAUACGAUUUAGGGUAUAUGAAAUUCUUAGAAAUAAAAUUUUAAUUUUUUUCGACAUUGUUUACUUAGUAAAUAAAUUAUGUCAAAAUGGACGGUGAAAAUUGAAUAAUCUUUAAAAUUUGAGCAUAAGACUUUUAAAUUCAAGAUCAAGAAUGUUAACCUUAAUCUAUAUAGUUUAAAGUAUUUUCUAUCAAACUUUGAAGAAACUUAGAUUUUUCUACGCCGUUAAACUUCAAACUCGCCAUAGUAGCCAUUGAAAAUUGACAAUUUUGAAAUGGUUUGAUCAUAAAGUAAACUAUGUCGAAAAAAUAUAAAAUUUUAUUUCAAAAAACUUUAAAUACCCUAAAUCAGUUUUAACAAU
rnacentral:lncRNA from 1 species